rnacentral:rRNA from 1 species
GACAGAGGGUGCAAACGUUGCUCGGAAUUACUGGGCGUAAAGCGCGUGUAGGUGGACCGGUAAGUCAGAUGUGAAAGCCCUGGGCUCAACCCAGGAAUUGCAUUUGUAAACUAGCCGGCCUUGAGUGGUGGAGAGGGAAGCGGAAUUCCUGGUGUAGAGGUGAAAUUCGUAGAUAUCAGGAGGAACACCGGUGGCGAAGGCGGCUUCCUGGACACCAACUGACACUGAGACGCGAAAGCGUGGGGAGCAAACAGGAUUAGAAACCCCUGUAGU